rnacentral:rRNA from 1 species
UUUAGUGGCGGACUGGUGAGUAACACGUAAGCAACCUGCCUGUUAGAGGGGAAUAACAACGAGAAAUCGUUGCUAAUACCGCAUAUGCCAUAGAAAUCACAUGAUUUUAGUGGGAAAGGAGCAAUCCGCUAACAGAUGGGCUUGCGUCUGAUUAGUUAGUUGGUGGGGUAACGGCCUACCAAGACGACGAUCAGUAGCCGGACUGAGAGGUUCAACGGCCACAUUGGGACUGAGAUACGGCCCAGACUCCUACGGGAGGCAGCAGUCGGGAAUAUUGCGCAAUGGAGGAAACUCUGACGCAGUGACGCCGCGUAUAGGAAGAAGGUUUUCGGAUUGUAAACUAUUGUCGAUAGGGAAGAAAAAAGACUGUACCUAUCAAGAAAGCUCCGGCUAACUACGUGCCAGCAGCCGCGGUAAUACGUAGGGAGCAAGUGUUAUCCGGAUUUAUUGGGUGUAAAGGGUGCGUAGGUGGCCUAUUAAGCCAGCUGUGAAAUACUGUAGCUCAACUACAGCCGUGCAGUUGGAACUGGUUGGCUUGAGUGCACAAGAGGGAUGUGGAAUUCGUGGUGUAGCGGUGAAAUGUUUAGAUAUCACGAAGAACUCCGAUUGCGAAGGCAGCGUCCUGGGGUGCAACUGACACUGAGGCUCGAAAGUGCGGGUAUCGAACAGGAUUAGAUACCCUGGUAGUCCGCACCGUAAACUAUGGAUACUCGCUGCCGGCGAUAGACAGUCGGUGGCUUAGCGAAAGCGUUAAGUAUCCCACCUGGGGAGUACGCCGGCAACGGUGAAACUCAAAGGAAUUGACGGGGGCCCGCACAAGCAGCGGAGCAUGUUGUUUAAUUCGAAGCAACGCGAAGAACCUUACCAGGUCUUGACAUCCGAUUAAAGCCAUAGAGAUAUGGUGUUCCUUCGGGAGAAUCGAGACAGGUGGUGCAUGGUUGUCGUCAGCUCGUGUCGUGAGAUGUUGGGUUAAGUCCCGCAACGAGCGCAACCCCUAUUGUCAGUUACUAACGGGUAAAGCCGAGGACUCUGACGAGACUGCCGGGGACAACUCGGAGGAAGGUGGGGACGACGUCAAAUCAUCAUGCCCCUUAUGACCUGGGCUACACACGUGCUACAAUGGUGACUACAAAGAGGAGCAAGUACGUAAGUAUGAGCGGAUCUCAAAAAAGUCAUCUCAGUUCGGAUUGUGGGCUGCAACCCGCCCACAUGAAGUCGGAGUAAAUAGUAAUCGCGGAUCAGUACGCCGCGGUGAAUACGU